AUUACUUGAAGUGUUUGUAUCUGUAAUUGUUUUAUUUAUCAUUUUUACAUUCUUCGUUUUCUGUGUCUAUAAACAUGAGUAGAUUUUAAACAGUUGUUGAGUCUUAUUCUUAUCUGAUUGCACUCAUUUUUUUGCUUUAAUUCAUGUGAUACUACACAGAAUCACCUUGUUAACUUCAUUCUUUAUUGGUGUUGUCUGUGUCAUAGACUGUUAGUCAUCAUUAAUUGGAAAUUCUUGUGCUGGGUAUCAUAUUAAACAAUCUAGACCAAAUACUCAUUUGUUUUGUGUAAUAUUCUGCAGUUGGGGAUCAGUCUCCUAUGGU
rnacentral:misc_RNA from 1 species